rnacentral:misc_RNA from 1 species
UUAAGUUCAGCGGGUAUCCCUACCUGAUCCGAGGUCAACCUGAAAAAUAAAUUGGUAAGACCGAGCCGAGAGACCGUCCAGACGCGUGCUAAAGAGCUCGCUGCAUCCAGGGUCCCCACGGACUCUGCCAUUGUCUUUUGGAUCCACCGUUUCUCAACGGUGAGACCCAACAGCAAGCCGGGCUUGAGGGUUGAUAAUGA